rnacentral:tRNA from 1 species
CGGCUCGGCGGGCCGGGUCGCCGGUGCACUGCUCGCCGUCGCCGAGCACCGCGAAGUCGACGCCGGCGGUGUGCAGCAGUUCGGCGACCGCCCGCGUCGUC